UGGACAUUGAAGCGACGCAAGGCCUCGUGCGAUGAUUCUGGAGUAGACACUAACGUGAGCGAUCGCAGAAUAUUGCAAGAGCAGAAUGAUGACAUAGUGAAGAUUAGGAGAAGUCAAAUUGAAAAACUUGACGAUGCUCCACAGGAACUAUCUCCACAGGAAGUAACAGUGUAUGGGACGCCUUCAAAGGCCAAAAAAUUGAAAAUUUUGUCAGAUGUAUUGUUGACAGAGAAAUCCCAGGUAAUACAAUCGCUUUCUUGUGAGGGAAAUGGAACUGAAAGAAAGAAAAAGUUCUUUAGCAGAAACUCCGGUGGAAGAACGGAUUUGAAGAUUUCGAAGGCAUUAUCA